GGUACGUCAUGGUCAAACGCCAUCAGUACCAACCUACGAACUUGAAGCUGCUCAAGGAACUAAAAUAGGUUAGGUCAGUUUAGGCGGUUUUGCAAUGAAGGGUAAUGCUGUAGAUAUGAAGGUCACCUGAACUGUACUACGGUAUAAAAACGGUCACAGGUCAGCAUUUACUAUACGUCGCUGGUUCCAGCUGUUAAUACAACAAGUCAGUUUAUUCAAGACUAUAUCGCUCUUUUCUACUCAACAAAUAUGAAGACUUUGUGUGCUGUUCUGUUUCUGGCACUUGUGGCUACUGCCAUGGCUGGAUUCCUGAGUCCCUACCUAGGCUACGGCUACGCUGGUCACGCUGGCUACCCUUAUGGUGGCCAUUAUGGUGGUUAUUAUGGUGGCCACUAUGGUGGCUACUAUGGUCAUGGCCAUGGAUAUGUUGGGCACCUGGGCUACGGUUAUCCUUACAGAUAUGGCUAUGGAUAUCGGGGCUAUGGUUAUCACUAAUAAAAGUCAUUAAAGUUAUCAGUUGUGACAUUUGUUCUUCAAUUGGCUUCAAAGAAAUAAUAAUUAUCUGAGGAAGAUUAGGCCUAGUUGAAAGUAAUA